rfam:Fluviicola sp. RIFCSPHIGHO2_12_FTLL_43_24 rifcsphigho2_12_scaffold_58, whole genome shotgun sequence.
UAUCUUUGCACCGUUAUAUCCGAAAAGUUCGGGAUGACUACAUAAAAAUCAUUCAAGUAAUAUUGGCAUG